CAUAAAGGCUCGUUCUGCAGGCAGCAGCCACACAAACAGGCAGCAGUGUUCCGUGGGGAGGUUUAUUCAGCACACCUUGAGACGUGGCUGGGAAUUGUGACUCAGAUUUGUUGUUGUCAAGCGAGGGAACCGGGGAACUCUGUCUUCAGGCAGGCUGUAAACAGUGCUAAGUAAAGCCAGGUCUGAGCAAGGCACAGGGCUUGUGAAGGACAGGUAACGAAGCCAGGGCUCUUAGUGCUAAUUGGAAUAAGGAUGAGGAUUCUCCUCUGGACACAGAUGGAAGCUGAUGGGCAAGCAGUCAGCGUCUCACAGCAAAUGGAGAGGAGCUUUAAGCAGGUGAGGUGCAUUCACACUACGUGGAGGUGGUGGGACAAAAUUCAAACAACCCACUGGAGAGUGCCAGAAUGCCAACAUCACCCCCUGAAAGAAUCCCUGGGGAUUACAGACAGGUUAACCAGGAAAGGUCUUCAGGAAAUUGCUGGCAAUCAGAUACUCCUGACCUGACCCUUCUCUCCCAGGAACCCAGGCACUGUGAAGAGUAAAAUAUUACCCUCCAUCCACCUUUCAAACUCCUGGGAAAGCAGCAGAGAGGGGGAACAUUUAUCCCAUCCUUGCUAAUGUUUUAAAAGCCUCCUGACACGUGGACCACUGAAACAUUUUUCAGUUAAUAAAAGGAGCUGAUUCACAGCACAAAGCCAUUAUUUCCAACCAUGAUAUCAAAUUGUGAUUUAUCAGUCUGAUAUUGUCAUUUCAGGACCCCUAGGAGGAAGGUCUCAGUAGCUGCAGUAAACCAGUAAAAUUCAGCGCAGAGGGGAAGAAAGAGGAAUUGGUAACAGCUGGGUUGUCCUUAACCUGAGUAGGUGUUUCUGUAUCCUAAAAUGACAGAAACAUCUUGCAUCAGUGUGGUGGCAUCAUGCUGAGUCACCCACUCACUCCUGUGGGCUAAGAGAAACACGGGCUGGCAACUUCUGGGGUUUGUGGUUUGGUUUCUUAUUUUCCCCUUAAAGAACAGCUGUGUCCAGUUGGCACCAGCACAUGAAGGGAACCACAGCCUCAUCCCACUCCACACCUCCUGUGGCAUUUCCAGGUCUGCUCCAGAUGGGGGAAUUUUGUUGAAGCACCAGCAGAGAAAACAAAAACUACACACACCUUGCUUUGGUAACUCACAGAAUCAAAACUAACCCUGUCCUGCUCCCAAGAAACAUUCCUGACCCUCCAUCCAUGAACAGCAGCAGGAUUUCCUCCACCUCUUCCUUCCUCUCUCAAGCAGGAGUUCACAGGCAUUUCAAGGACCUGAGAUGUCAUCUGUAGCUGCUGCCUCAGAAUUUAUUAAACUGCAGUGAGAGCUGGAGUUCUGUGCCUUUCUCAAACUCACAUUCACAGACCUAAAUAAGACUUCAAAUAAAUUCUUCCCUUGCUCAUGCCAUGACGGGAAAAGCUCUUCUAUCUACAAAUGUAUUCUUAUUUAUAAAUGUUGCACUACUUCUAAGGGGUGUAAUUGUCAUCAGCUGUAUUUCUGAGUGCUUUAAAAUACUCAAUAAUUCAAUUUUAAUUUCUUAAUUU